rnacentral:ncRNA from 1 species
GUGUUCGUAGAAAGGAGAGACGGUUGGCAUCUCCCCCGACAGGGACGGGAACAGCUUUCGGGCUUUACCUGUUACCAACACAUCCGGUUAAGGCUACCCCACUUUGGUGGGAUCUUAUACCCAAUUUUUUU